rnacentral:lncRNA from 1 species
AAAGUUAGUUAAAAGUAUUGUAAUUUGUCUAAUUUUAUUUUAUGAUAACAAUAUUUUAUAAAAUUCGUGUGUUUGAAUUUAUAAUAUUUAGAACCAUGUUUACAGUAGCUUUGUGUACAAAAGCUUUAGUUUGGUGUGGUUGAAUGGGUAAAACAAAAUUGUGAUAUAGAAAUUGUAUAGUUGAGAAAUUGUGAAAUUAAAUAUAUAGCUGAGAAAUUGUGAUAAAUUGAUAAUGAAAUAUUAAUUAUUCCUUAAUAAAAAUUAUUAUUAUUGUUGUUGUUGUUGUUGUUGUUGUUAUAAGCGAAUGGGCUAGAGGGCUUGAAAAAGUACGCCAGACACAUGGAAUUGAAAAAGCACGGUAAGCACGUGAAGAAAAAAAGGUUGGCGGGCUAUUUUUGCGCACAACCGAGCACAGCACGCAUGGGCUCGUACCGUGGGCCGUCUCAGGCUUAAAACAAAUUUGGGCACGGCAUGACACAGCCCAUUCACUUGGUGGACCAUGCUAUACCGGCCUAUGGGCCCUAAUUGGCCUUGGUUUGAUGGGUUGUGCCAGCACGGCACGGCCCAUUGGCCAUCUUUAAAAGUAGAGGUGUUCACGGAUCGGAUUUUACGGAUUGCACAUCAAUCCAUAUCCGAUCCAUGAUUUUAUAGAUUAUAAAUUUUUAAUACAAUCCAAUACACGGAUUAGUGAAAUUCAAUCCAAAUCCAAUCCAUACGUUUACGGAUUGAAUGCGGAUUUGACCUAAUGCAUAUCCAAUCCACUAUCUUGCAGAUUGGUUUGCAAAUUAAAAUUUUUUAAUCAUGUCCUAUCCACGAACUAACUAAAUAAAAAAAUUAAUAUAAAAAUGAUUUAACUACCGAUCAAAUGCAAAAUUAAAUAAAAUUUAAAAUAAAUUAAUUAUUUAAAUAAAGCUAGAAAAUACUUUCAAAAUCUAAAAAUAUAACACAACAAAAGGAAAAACAAAUCUCAUUUGUUCAGAUCAAUACAUGAAAAUUAGCUGUUUAGGAAACUAUAUUUUUUAUUUAAUUUUUUAUUUU